rnacentral:rRNA from 1 species
AUUGAACGCUGGCGGCAUGCUUUACACAUGCAAGUCGAACGGUAACAGGUCUUCGGAUGCUGACGAGUGGCGAACGGGUGAGUAAUACAUCGGAACGUGCCUAGUAGUGGGGGAUAACUACUCGAAAGAGUAGCUAAUACCGCAUGAGAUCUACGGAUGAAAGCAGGGGACCUUCGGGCCUUGUGCUACUAGAGCGGCUGAUGGCAGAUUAGGUAGUUGGUGGGGUAAAGGCUUACCAAGCCUGCGAUCUGUAGCUGGUCUGAGAGGACGACCAGCCACACUGAGACUGAGACACGGCCCAGACUCCUACGGGAGGCAGCAGUGGGGAAUUUUGGACAAUGGGCGAAAGCCUGAUCCAGCAAUGCCGCGUGCAGGAUGAAGGCCCUCGGGUUGUAAACUGCUUUUGUACGGAACGAAAAGCCUGGGGCUAAUAUCCCCGGGUCAUGACGGUACCGUAAGAAUAAGCACCGGCUAACUACGUG